UAACGCGUGAGUAACCUGCCUCUAAGAGGGGAAUAACAUUCUGAAAAGAAUGCUAAUACCGCAUAACAUAUAUUUAUCGCAUGGUAGAUAUGUCAAAGAUUUAUCGCUUAGAGAUGGACUCGCGUCCGAUUAGUUAGUUGGUGAGGUAACGGCUCACCAAGACUGCGAUCGGUAGCCGGACUGAGAGGUUGAACGGCCACAUUGGGACUGAGACACGGCCCAG
rnacentral:rRNA from 1 species